AGUGAACGCUGGCGGUAGGCCUAACACAUGCCAGUCGAACGGCAGCACAGUAAGAGCUUGCUCUUACGGGUGGCGAGUGGCGGACGGGUGAGGAAUACAUCGGAAUCUACUUUUUCGUGGGGGAUAACGUAGGGAAACUUACGCUAAUACCGCAUACGACCUACGGGUGAAAGCAGGGGAUCUUCGGACCUUGCGCGAUUGAAUGAGCCGAUGUCGGAUUAGCUAGUUGGCGGGGUAACGGCCCACCAAGGCGACGAUCCGUAGCUGGUCUGAGAGGAUGAUCAGCCACACUGGAACUGAGACACGGUCCAGACUCCUACGGGAGGCAGCAGUGGGGAAUAUUGGACAAUGGGCGCAAGCCUGAUCCAGCAAUACCGCGUGGGUGAAGAAGGCCUUCGGGUUGUAAAGCCCUUUUGUUGGGAAAGAAAAGCAGCAGGUUAAUACCCCGCUGUUCUGACGGUACCCAAAGAAUAAGCACCGGCUAACUUCGUG
rnacentral:rRNA from 1 species